GGCAGAUAUUGUAUGCAUGUAUAGGACGAGAACAAAUUAAGAAUAAAGAUGAUAGUAGCUCCUGUAAUAGAUGCCGUCUGUGAAUAAGGUUGGGGAAAUCUGGACUGCCAUAGAAAGUAAGAGUAAAUUUAUACUGAAUAGGGACAGAACUGUUGCCUUUUAAAGGUGAAAUAAAGGCAUUCGUGGUCCCUUUUCUGUUGCUAUUGUGACUAAACACUUGUUAGUAUGAAGUGUUUCAAAACUUCAUAAAUAUUUGGCGAUAAUAUGAUAAAUUCUGACAACACAUCAGUUUGGA
rnacentral:lncRNA from 1 species